UUCAAGUGUGUCAGUAUGCUCUUGCUCAUAAUUUUUACUAUAUCUUGUUACUAAAAUUGCAAGUUAAUUGCAAAUUACUCAGAGCUUGGAUUUUCUCCUCCAGUUGGUUAAAGGAAACCUAACGGGAAGGCAGAUUUGUUGGUAAGUUCGAAUGGCUUGCUAGUAUCAAAGCGUAAUGUAUUUUCUUCCACUUAUGUUUUUCAUCCUACCUAAUUUUUGUGAUUGAUUAAUUCCUUAUUGAUAUGCAGACGAGUUUCCUUACAUACUAAAUGAUGAUGACUACAUAUCGAAGUAUCGAGCCAGCCUAAAAGCUGCAGUUCUCAGGGCAAAAGCAUGUUCUUGAGCUUUAUUUGAAGGGUAUGAUGUUUGCAUAUCAGCUCACGCUCAACCACCACCUGAAACUCUAUCCUUGAUAGUCAAGUCAACCGGUGGAAAUGUGAUUCAUGAGCUAGAUAAAGUAAACAACGUAUGGAAGACGAUCUUUGUGGCUUGUGAGGAAGACGUGGAGGAAGCCUUGGUGGCCGUAGAAAAAGGGAUAUGGACUUUCAACGUUGAAUGGCUAAUGGCAUGUAUAAUGAGACCAGAAGUAGACCUGGAGGCCCCUCAAUUUGCUGAGUCCCUAUGAGAAACAAGGUCACCCUAACUUUCAGUUUUGAACAAGCAGCAGCCAGCCAUUUCGUCCUUGUGUAAAUCCACUCUUUUCUCAACUCACUCUAAUUUUGUACAUAAACAAACUCUGAUCGCUCCAUCUCUAUAUUCAUCAGUACAUAAAAGACGAUAAGUUUAUUCAUGGAGAAAGUUGGAUGUAAGUAUGUUUUAGGAAUGGUCCUUCAUAUAGUAACUUUGGGAAUUGUAAAAAUGAGGUAAUGAAGUUCUAUCAAGUUGAAUGUUCUUGUUUAUGUUGGAUGAGACUGAUUCUUGGAUACCAGAAUUAACUUGAAGUACGUGUUUGAGUUCCAUUGGAGUGAUUAGAGAAAAAAUGUUCCUUUAAAAAGGGUAAUUUUUUUA